AGAGUUUGAUCAUGGCUCAGAUGAACGCUAGCUACAGGCUUAACACAUGCAAGUCGGCCGGCAGCGCAGCGAUGCGCGAGAGCGGCGGACGGGUGAGUAACGCGUGACAACCGACCCUCCGGACGRGGAUAGCCGCGGGAAACUGCGGAUAAUACCGGAUACGACCCGGGGAGCGAAGGCGCUCCGGGGGAAAGCCGCUGCGGCGGCGCCGGGGGACGGGUCUGCGUCCCAUCAGCUAGACGGCGGGGUGAAGGCCCACCGUGGCGACGACGGGUAGCCGGCCUGAGAGGGUGGACGGCCACAUUGGGACUGAGAACGGCCCAGACUCCUACGGGAGGCAGCAGCUAAGGAUCUUCCGCAAUGGGCGAAAGCCUGACGGAGCGACGCCGCGUGGACGAUGGAGGCCGUGAGGUUGUAAAGUCCUUUUCCGUGGGGUGAAGAGCCGUGCCAGGGAAUGGGUGCGGGGUGACGUGACCACGGGAAUAAGCCCCGGCUAACUACGUGCCAGCAGCCGCGGUAACACGUAGGGGGCGAGCGUUGUUCGGAAUCAUUGGGCGUAAAGGGCGCGCAGGCGGCUGCGGGAGCCCGGCGUGAAAUCCACAGGCCCAACCUGUGGGGGUCGCCGGGGACUCCGCGGCUGGAGUCCAGGAAGCGGUUCAGGAAUUCCCGGUGUAGGGGUGAAAUCUGUAGAUAUCGGGAAGAACACCAAUGGCGAAGGCGUGGGCCGGGCCAUGGACUGACGCUGAGGCGCGA
rnacentral:rRNA from 1 species